rnacentral:rRNA from 1 species
AUUGAACGCUGGCGGCAUGCCUUACACAUGCAAGUCGAGCGGCAGCGCGGGGGCAACCCUGGCGGCGAGCGGCGAACGGGUGAGUAAUGCAUCGGAACGUGUCCUCUUGUGGGGGAUAACCAGUCGAAAGACUGGCUAAUACCGCAUGAGCACGAGAGUGGAAAGCGGGGGACCGUAAGGCCUCGCGCGAGAGGAGCGGCCGAUGCCGGAUUAGCUAGUUGGCGGGGUAAUGGCCCACCAAGGCGACGAUCCGUAGCUGGUAUGAGAGUACGACCAGCCACACUGGGACUGAGACACGGCCCAGACUCCUACGGGAGUCAGCAGUGGGGAAUUUUGGACAAUGGGGGCAACCCUGAUCCAGCCAUGCCGCGUGUGUGAAGAAGGCCUUCGGGUUGUAAAGCACUUUCGGACGGAACGAAAUCGCGCGGGUGAACAUCCCGCGUGGAUGACGGUACCGUAAGAAGAAGCACCGGCUAACUACGUGCCAGCCGCCGCUGUAAAAC